UUCGACGGUUAUAAAACAAAAAAUCAUGAUUUAACGGUUAUUUUAACUCCGAUUUUGAUGAUUUUUUACAACUACACUCCUUGACCCUAUAGGAAUACAAUGAAAGAAUUUGAUCGUCAAUUCAAAAUAUUUACACAAGUGGAUACCACAAAAUCUUAUGUUAUACUUAAUGAAAGUAUAGAUAAAUUCCAAGUGUUAAUGA
rnacentral:lncRNA from 1 species